CUUACUACAGUAGAAGAAUAAGUGAUGUGUGAUAAUUUUGAUAUGGUUGUAUGCCCUUCAGGUCAUGGACUCUUGCAUGGUUGCAUAUCCCACAGAACAAAGGUCUUAUUUGAUAGCAUGUCAUUUACCUAUGCUAUUUCAAGAAUCAGACUCGAGAUUGAAGAAGAAACUCAUGCAGGCGAUGUGCCUGUGAUCUAGAACUUAGUGUUUGGACAAAAUGGGAGUACUGACCAAGGUCGCUGCACUGGCCACUGAGCAAUUCAGUCUUGCUUGGGGAUUCAAAGGAGAACUGGCCAGGCUCAGGGAUUCAUUAUCCCUCAUGCAAAACAUCUUAUGUGAUGCUGCGGAGCAACCAACAGAUCGAGGCCACACCGUCAAAGCCUGGGUGAAGAAACUUAAAGACAUAGUACAAGAUGCUGAUGAAGUGUUGGAUGAAUUCCAGUAUGAAGUUCUUCGAAGUAAACUGGAGCUAUCAUCAUUUCAUCGAUUGGUAUAAUUUGCCUACUUUCGGAAUGCUUUUACUCGAAUCAGAAGAACAAGUGCUGAGAAACAUUAGGUGAAAACUAUUUCCAUCCAGAUUUGGGAGUAGCAUCCAUUUGAAGUGUGUAAACUGUCCCGAGAAGUUGUUUAUAAAAAUUUGAUGAACUGGAGGGUUUACUGGAGUGAUGAGGGAACCUUGAAGCUUUCAGUGAACUAUCCAUAUGUGAGAAUCUUAAGAAUCUACCAGCAGUGGAAGCUCUGAAAAUUUCCCCAAAAUGAAAAGAUGCACCGAGGAGAGCCAGAGUCAUGUGUACGUUUCUUUCUCAAAUCGGAAUUUAUGAUUUGAAUUCUUGUCCUCUCUCACUUUCAUUUAUCGUUAAUUAACUUAUUGGCCAUUAAGUUUGUUGUCUACUGCAACACAAAG